rnacentral:tRNA from 1 species
GGGCUGGGGCUCAGCGGUUGAGCGCUCGCCUACCAUGCGUGAGGCACUGGGUUCAAUCCUCAGCACCACA